UUGGUACAGAGGUGAAAAAAACAUGUUUGUCUAUGUUAGAUGCAUUUGCAUGUAGAAUUUAAGAAAUACACAUUAUUUUAAGAAAUAUAUUUUAUGUCCUAACUGGAUGCACAGCUUAUUUUUAAAAUUAUACUCCACUAUUUUUCAAAAAUGCUGAUGCAUAGCAAAGUUUACUUUAGCAAAAGUAAAAUUACAUGGCUUAUAUUUGCCCCCAAAUAUGCCCUCUCAUUUCCCAGGAUAUUGACUUAUUAAAAUGGCAAAAUAAUAAAGUUUAUCAAUUUUAGUUCCCUAAAACCUUUCAUAAAAGAUGGCGGGUCAUAACAAAAUACUUCUAGUUACUGAAAAAAUUGGUGUUUGUGUCUAUCUACUUUUCCCCCCUUUCUUUUGCAAGGUCUCUUAACAUUAUGAAAAGAAGUCUGGGCUUUUGCAAGCAAGAGAGAAAAAAAGCAGCAUUUUCAUGGAUUAUUCUCUAAGGUUUACUGUUAUAGAGAAAUGUCUUGUGUGGCUACAUAAAAAAAACGAAUAUAUAGAUACAUUGGUAAAUGUUGAAUGAAACCACACCAGCCAAGUUUCCCUUCAGUUUUGAAGAUUGUACCCAUGGGUUUUAUCGGUUUUAAAAUUCAUCUUUAUGACUGUAGAGGUUAGGUUGUUUCUGUGCCUUCCUUUCCUGCAGAAGAAAUAAAAUCAUGUGUUUCUACAUCAGAGUUUUGUACUGUUCUCUGAAAUGAAGAUAAUCCUCCAUUUGUGGCUCUGCAAGUCAUUAUGUAUCUGUCAUGUCUGGGCAUCAGAUAAAUUGAAGAUGCAUCGCCUCGUAUGGAGCUAUCAGGAGGGUACCAUGGACUUACAGAGAACAGCUUCACAGGACUUACAGAGAACAGGCGGACUGUUUUGUGAGGGCGAUGCUCUCCCAUUCUCACCUCUCAGUGUGAACUCUCUCUUCUGUCAACCCUGUUGCACCUCCAGCCUCAUCCUGAGGAAAACUUAUUCGAGGCAGCCUCGAUUACAACAGAAGACGUCAAACUAAAUUUGACAGUGUCAAGUGAGAAACACUGAGGAUAUGCUAUCAGUGGGGCCUUCAAGAAAGGAGAUGAAGUUUUUGAGAAGAGGAACUACAGAAGAUAAAUAGGAGGUGUUCUAAUGUUCUGAAUCUACCUUUGAAGGGCAUUUAAAGAAUAGUGUUAACAUCACCAGUUUUAAAGUGUAAUUGCUCAAGUUUGUCACUAUGAAGAGAACUAGGAUUGCUAAAUUUACAUUUAAAUAAAAUGCUAAA